UCCCCUCUUCUUCGUCUCUCUCUCGCGCGUGGAUGACCCGACGCCGACGGCUUCCCCGACGAUCUCGGUCUCGCCGCGUCACCUGAGGAACGUCGCCGGAUCUCAACGGUACCGACCAUCUUUGGCAGAGCGAUCGUCUCCUUGGUCAUUUUUUGCGCGCAUCGGUGGUGGUUCGACAUCUAGGGCAUCGCGAGGUACUGGACUCGCGUCGUCCCCAGCCGAUCGACUCCCGACAUUCCUCCUCAUCGAUCGAUUCAUAGGAGAGUGAUCCUUACCACCACAGAUAGGAUCAGAUCGGGCAAUACCAACUGGAGGCGACCGAUCGAGAGGAAGGCAUCGAAUCAGCAUACCGUGGACCUUCCCUCUUGCCGUUCACUGCCUCUCCACUUCUUAUAGCUGCUAAGGCUUCGGGUGAAGGGGUGGAGGGUUUGUUGAGGUAGCAGGUAAAUGAAUCAAGGAUGCUUGGAGAGUCCUAGCUGCCAGCCCCACUACACCCUUGAGGACGGAUUUCUUUUCAGUCUUGUUUCUGUUCGGUGGUAUAUUGAUUUUGUAUUUUUUUUUAAUUUUUUUAUAUAAGCUGAUGUGGGUUUGGAGUCUAGUUCGGUGGUUAUAGGUUUUGUGGUUAAUGACUUUGUUAC